rnacentral:rRNA from 1 species
GAUGAACGCUAGCGAUAGGCUUAACACAUGCAAGUCGAGGGGCAGCGAGGGUAGCAAUACCUGUCGGCGACCGGCGCACGGGUGAGUAACGCGUAUGUAACCUGCCCGCAACAGGGGGGUAACCCGGCGAAAGUCGGACUAAUACCGCAUAAAACAGGGGUCCCGCAUGGGAAUAUUUGUUAAAGAUUUAUCGGUUGCGGAUGGGCAUGCGUACCAUUAGGUAGUUGGUGAGGUAACGGCUCACCAAGCCUUCGAUGGUUAGGGGUUCUGAGAGGAAGGUCCCCCACACUGGUACUGAGACACGGACCAGACUCCUACGGGAGGCAGCAGUGAGGAAUAUUGGUCAAUGGGCGAGAGCCUGAACCAGCCAAGUCGCGUGAAGGAUGACUGCCCUAUGGGUUGUAAACUUCUUUUACAAGGGAAUAAAAUGAGAUACGUGUAUUUUAUUGCAUGUACCUUGGGAAUAAGCAUCGGCUAACUCCGUG